rnacentral:rRNA from 1 species
CAGCAGCCACGGGAAUACGAAGGGUGCAAGCGUUACUCGGAAUUACUGGGCGUAAAGCGUGCGUAGGUGGUGGUUUAAGUCCGUUGUGAAAGCCCUGGGCUCAACCUGGGAAUUGCAGUGGAUACUGGGUCACUAGAGUGUGGUAGAGGAUAGUGGAAUUUCCGGUGUAGCAGUGAAAUGCGUAGAGAUCGGAAGGAACAUCUGUGGCGAAGGCGACUAUCUGGGCCAACACUGACGCUGAGGUACGAAAGCAUGGGGAGCAAACAGGAUUAGAUACCCGCGUAUCCCUGUCUCUUAUACA